ACCCGUCUUGUAACACGGACCAAGGAGUCUAGUACCUGUGCAAAUCAAGAGUCUUUAUACCUCUAGGUGUAAUGAAAGUGACUGCUGGGAUCUUUGCACCAGCGACCAGCCUGUACAUGAUACAACUCUGAGUUUGAGCACAAUUACUAGGACCCGAAAGGUGGUGAACUAUGCCUGUGAAGAGCGAAGCCAGGGGAAACUCUGGUGGAGGACCGUAGCGAUUCUGACGUGCAAAUCGAUCGUCAAAUUUGGGUAUAGGGGCGAAAGACUAAUCGAACUAUCUAGUAGCUGGUUCCCUCCGAAAUUUCCCUUAGGAUAGCUGCAAUC
rnacentral:rRNA from 1 species